rnacentral:rRNA from 1 species
UACGGAGGGGGCUAGCGUUGUUCGGAAUCAUUGGGCGUAAAGGGCUCGUAGGCGGCCGAUCAAGUCGGAGGUGAAAUCCCUCGGCUCAACUGAGGAAUUGCCUUCGAUACUGUUCGGCUUGAGUCCUGGAGAGGGUAGCGGAAUUCCCGGUGUAGCGGUGAAAUGCGUAGAGACCGGGAAGAACACCAGUGGCGAAGGCGGCUACCUGGACAGGUACUGACGCUGAAGCGCGAAAGCUAGGGGAGCAAACAGG